CUGGAUCAGGGCUAAGGCUCAGCCCAUGGCCAGCGGCUGCAGCUGAGGCAGAGCUUCACAGCAGCUGGACUGUGUGGGGAGGAAGCCACUCGGCUCCUGGCUGCUGGACGGAUCCACUGAUGAGGUCGGAGUCCCCAUGACCCAACCACCAUCCCAAAGGCCCCACCACUGUACACUGCUGCACCAGGGACCAAACCAUCACACCAGCCCUGGCUAGAGGUGGAAGUGGACAUGGCUGGGUGGGCCUGGAGAAAAGCUUUUACAAGAGAACAGAAGUAACCUUCCUAGUUCCUUCUUCCUCCUGCCUGGGAUGUGCAUGUGAUGGCUGGGGCUUGCUCGGCCAUACUCUAGAAUGAGGACAAGUACGAGACAGUGGCGCCUGGGCUGCCGAUGGCAUCAUGAAGUCUUGCACUGACACAUCCACAGAUGAGCUUCACGUGGGAUGGGUCUCUUCUCUCCUGCAGCACGUGGCAGGGGCUGGACAAAGAUCACACCAGAACAGAUGGCUGAAUGAAUGGGGUGGAGCUAGACAUGGCCCUGCCAAGGGACAGGCUUGGGCAGGAGCUGGGCCACAACUGGGCAGGCCAGGCUGCUCCAGUCAGAUCCUGGGCCACAUGCCAGAGACGCCAGGGUCCCAGGAGGUGAGAAGAAACGCUGUAGAGAUCCUUCCUGCAGAGUGAGCAGAGGCCUGCCGUGUGCCCAGCCCCCAGUCACGCCUCAUCAGGUAAUGAGAACCGGCUCCCGACCCCAGCGGAGGGGAGAGCCAGGGUGGAAGAGACCACCGCCUCUCCAGAAAACCCAGACACCAAACGACAAGAAGGCUUGUGGCUCACUCCAGGAGGUGCAGUGGGGGUUGUGCCCCGGCAGUCCUGACAUGGGUCCUGCCUGUCACCUACUGAGGUGACUGGGGGACACCAGGGGAAUCAG
rnacentral:lncRNA from 1 species